rnacentral:rRNA from 1 species
UACGUAGGGGGCAAGCGUUGUCCGGAUUUAUUGGGCGUAAAGAGCGUGUAGGCGGCCUGACAGGUCUGCUGUGAAAACUCGAGGCUCAACCUCGAGAUGUCGGCGGAAACCGUCUGGCUAGAGUCCGGAAGAGGAGAGUGGAAUUCCUGGUGUAGCGGUGAAAUGCGUAGAUAUCGAGAGGAACACCUGCGGCGAAGGCGGGUUGCUGGGCUGACACUGACGCUGAUGCGCGAAAGCUAGGGGAGCGAACGGG